rnacentral:lncRNA from 15 species
AAUUGCACCUACUCGGAAAAUAUAUAACUAAAAUUUAUAUCUCAUCCCUUUACUCUUCGGUUAUUCCUGUUCCGUUGAACCCUCCUACUUUUCUGUCAAGUGAACAAAGUUAAGAAGCCACGUGACGGCAGCCGGCCAAUGGCGCGCCUCCAGGACGGACCCCGGAUAAGGAAAUGGGAUUAAGCAUAUACACGGCCCCCGCACGCGCAUCAUCAUAUGGCCUCAGUUUGUGGGCAUUCACAAUACUUUCCCCUCUCCCUCCCUUUAUGUCUCUCUCUCUGUACAUCGGGCGGCAGGAGGAGCUAUGCUUUUGUUACCGGGGAAGGGAAGGGAAGGUCAGGCCUUCACCUCUCCUUUGCCUCCUGCUAUCAUUUCUCUCAUCUGUACCCCCUCCCUACCUCUGCUCCUCUUACUCCCUCCCUCCCUCUCCUUUUGCCUUUGACAUACAGCAAUUGGUCUAGAGUGGAGUGAGUGAGGAGAGGAGACGAGAGGAGAGGCGAGGGCGGAACUCACGCACGACGGUGAACUUUUGACCCUUCAACUCCGUGAACCUAGUGCUACAUGCUGACUAUUAGCUUGGACAUCCAGCCAGGCUGUUCUCUUGAUAAUAGCCCUGGAGUCUUCUUGCUCCUCCGUUUUGCCUCGGGCAGGGAGACAGAGGGAAAAGGGAAAGAGAGAAACGGCGACAGUAUAGCAGGUUUUUAAUUCACUUGCUAGCUGGAAAGUUAUCCAGCUUUGCUGCCUGUGAGUCUGCUGUUGCGUCGCUGUUUUAGGGGUUAGCUGGAGCUCUCUCAGCGAACCGCGUAAAGGGAGGGAAGAAAUGUAUCGACAGCGCCUCCUUUAAAUGGCAUUUUUGUAUCUUUCUCUCCUUAAACCUUACACUAAAGCUGUACUCGUGUGUCUUCGUACACUCAACAUUAAUCAACUCCAACAGACGGGGACAGUUGUGACAGCUGUGUAUUUUAACAGCGAGGGAGAGACGGGAGGUUGUUACAGGUUAUCGUCGGUUAGGAUUCAAAAGGACGGGGGCGCGUGCUGGGAGGAACAGAGAGGGGCUCGCGGGGGGCUCUCGUGCUGGUUCUCGCUGUCCUAAUGGUCUGAAGCGGGCUCUGGUGGCGGCGCGAGAGAGCUGCAUUCUGUGGGAAAAUAAAAUCCUCAGGCACACUGACACCGCAAUGGCGACUGAAAUAGUCUGGAAUACGGAUUAAAGUCAUUCAUUCGUGUUUGGAGCGGAAAGCCUUUACAAUACCCGGGGAGUGACGCAUUUUAGGACAGCAAAAAGCCAACCUUUUACUCUUUAUUAGCACACAACAAGGUUACAACAGCAAUGCCGCCUACUAAUGAUUGACGUUAUUAUUGUUGUUGUCAUUAUAAUUAUUAGUAGUAGUUGUAGUAGCAGUAGUAGUAUAUCUAUGUGCCCCACAUUGCUUCCAGGCUACUAAUAACAGGCCUACCGUAUAAAGAUUAACAGGCAGAUGGAAAUAGCAGAAGUCAUCAUCGUCAUCCUGGGAAGACCACUUUGAUUUUGUAUACUAUCAAUGCUGGCCAACAACACUGUCUCUCACCAACCAUCCAUGUCCUCCUGAACUGUGAAUACAAAUUGUUACCUUCACACCGGAGACGAACCGGAAGCAUUCUUUGGUGCACCAGUCAAUCCUAAAAUGAAAUAGCCUGUGGAGCUUAAUCUUAGAUCAAAUGCAUAUUGAAGAGUCUUGAAUAUUGUCUUCUGUGUUUGUAAUCUUAUGUUAAAUGUAUGUAUAUUUGCCUCUUGUCUUUUAUUAUUAUAUAUUGUUGUUUGUCUUUUCUGGGAUGCAAGCAACAUUGCAGACUUUAUCUGACAAUAAAGUAUUAUCACCAUCAAAUACAAUUCUGGAUUACUAAUCAAUAAUUAAUAAUAUCCGUCAUUGAAAUGAUUUUACCACAGCUAUUAUCUGUACGUUUUCAGUCACAACCGCCUAUCAAGCUUCUAUCUAUCUGUAGGCUAAUGUAUGACAUAUAGGCUAGGCCUAUAUUUAUAUUUCUUUAACCAGAAUCUAAUUAUAGUCUGUUAGUUUGUUACCCAGGCGCAGGCAACAUUGAACAUGGCAUAACCUGAAAAAUAAACAUGGUACCCACCCAUGACCUGGGUAACUUUAAAUAUUUGCAAGGUUAUCGGCUUGUCAUAACCCAUCGCCAAGGCAAACAAACCCUAUUCUGGUCUUAUCCAGGCUUUAUUCCCAGUCUCUCAGAGCGGCGCUGAUAAAGCCUUUUAUUGACUGCAAGUAUUUUUUUUUUUUUUUUACAAUAACUUAAAUUUAACCCAAUCAAGGCUCGUUUCCCUUAAUUUCCUGCAUUCAAGGUUGAUUUAAGACUGUGGUCGCAUGGUUUAUUUAUAGUGUUUCACAAUGUUUUUAAAUUUAAACUGUUAUAGAUACAUAUAUAGGCUAUAUUAUUUUUCCGCAUAUGAUAUUAUGGCAUUGCUAUAAUUUAUCCUGUGUGCGCCAUCAAUUCUGUUAGUUGGCUUGGUUGAACCGUCGGGUGGCCGCUGUGUAUUUACCCAGCCAGCGUGAUUUCAGUUGUGGAAGUUUUUAGUUUGUCUGAGGUAAACUUCCCUCCCUUCUGACCCGGAAAUGGGCAACACUCACAGAUCAAUAAAAGCAGCCAGUUGUUAAAUCCUCUCCUCCGUGUUGUUGAAGUAAACACACAAACACACACGCAGUUGGGGGGGGGGGGGGGGGGGGGGGGGGUCGUGGCGUCGUGGUAGACCGUCCCUCCCUCCCCUCUCGNGGCCGUCGUGGCCGGCCGUCGUUCGUUCCCUCCGUU